AAGCUCGUAGUUGAAUUUCGGGAUCAGUAUGUUGGUCGUGCUUCGGUACGUACUGUCAUUACUGGUUUCUCCCUUCUGAAGUACCUUGAUGUCAUUAAUUUGGUGUCUUGGGGAAUCAGAACUGUUACUUUGAAAAAAUUAGAGUGUUUAAAGCGGGCAUACGCUUGAAUACAUUAGCAUGGAAUAAUGAAAUAGGACGUUUGAUUCUAUUUUGUUGGUUUCUAGGAUCGACGUAAUGAUUAAUAGGGAUAGUUGGGGGCAUUAGUAUUCAAUUGUCAGAGGUGAAAUUCUUGGAUUUAUAGAAGACUAACUACUGCGAAAGCAUUUGCCAAGGAUGUUUUCAUUAAUCAAGAACGAAAGUUAGGGGAUCGAAGACGAUCAGAUACCGUCGUAGUCUUAACCAUAAACUAUGCCGACUAGGGAUCGGAUGAUGUUAUUUUUAAUGACUCAUUCGGCGCCUUACGGGAAACCAAAGUGUUUGGGUUCCGGGGGGAGUAUGGUCGCAAGGCUGAAACUUAAAGGAAUUGACGGAAGGGCACCACCAGGGGUGGAGCCUGCGGCUUAAUUUGACUCAACACGGGGAAA
rnacentral:rRNA from 1 species